rnacentral:rRNA from 1 species
UACGUAGGGGGCAAGCGUUGUCCGGAAUCAUUGGGCGUAAAGCGCGUGUAGGCGGCCCGGUAAGUCCGCUGUGAAAGUCCAGGGCUCAACCCUGGAAUGCCGGUGGAUACUGUCGGGCUCGAGUCCGGAAGAGGAGAGUGGAAUUCCUGGUGUAGCGGUGAAAUGCGCAGAUAUCAGGAGGAACACCCGUGGCGAAAGCGGCUCUCUGGGACGGUACUGACGCUGAGACGCGAAAGCGUGGGGAGCAAACAGG